AUUGAACGCUGGCGGCAUGCCUUACACAUGCAAGUCGAACGGUAGCGGGGGAGAAGCUUGCUUUUCCUGCCGGCGAGUGGCGAACGGGUGAGUAAUACAUCGGAACGUGCCCUGUAGUGGGGGAUAACUAGUCGAAAGAUUAGCUAAUACCGCAUACGACCUGAGGGUGAAAGUGGGGGACCGCAAGGCCUCAUGCUAUAGGAGCGGCCGAUGUCUGAUUAGCUAGUUGGGGGGGUAAAGGCCUACCAAGGCGACGAUCAGUAGCUGGUCUGAGGGGACGAUCAGCCACACUGGGACGGAGACACGGCCCAGACUCCUACGGGAGGCAGCAGUGGGGAAUUUUGGAGAAGGGGCGAAGGCCUGAUCCAGCAAUGCCGCGUGUGUGAAGAAGGCCUUCGGGUUGUAAAGCACUUUUGUCCGGAAAGAAAUGGCUCUGGUUAAUACCUGGGGUCGAUGACGGUACCGGAAGAAUAAGGACCGGCUAACUACGUGCCAGCCGCCGCCGUAACAC
rnacentral:rRNA from 1 species